rnacentral:rRNA from 1 species
UACGUAGGUGGCGAGCGUUAUCCGGAAUGAUUGGGCGUAAAGGGUGCGUAGGCGGUUUGAUAAGUUAGAGGUGAAAUGUCGGGGCUCAACCCCGAAACUGCCUCUAAUACUGUUGGACUAGAGAAUAGUUGCGGUAGGCGGAAUGUAUGGUGUAGCGGUGAAAUGCUUAGAGAUCAUACAGAACACCGAUUGCGAAGGCAGCUUACCAAACUAUAUCUGACGUUGAGGCACGAAAGCGUGGGUAGCAAACAGG